rnacentral:rRNA from 1 species
CCAAUAGCGUAUAUUAAAGUUGUUGCAGUUAAAAAGCUCGUAGUUGAAUUUCGGGGUUAGUAGAUUGGUCGUGCCACCGGUACGUACUGGUCUUACUGAUUCCUCCCUCCUGAUGAACUGUAAUGCCAUUAAUUUGGUGUUGCAGGGAAUCUGGACUGUUACUUUGAAAAAAUUAGAGUGUUUAAAGCAGGCUAGCGCUUGAAUACAUUAGCAUGGAAUAAUGAAAUAGGACGUUUGAUUCUAUUUUGUUGGUUUCUAGGAUCGACGUAAUGAUUAAUAGGGAUAGUUGGGGGCAUUAGUAUUCAAUUGUCAGAGGUGAAAUUCUUGGAUUUAUUGAAGACUAACUACUGCGAAAGCAUUUGCCAAGGAUGUUUUCAUUAAUCAAGAACGAAAGUUAGGGGAUCGAAGACGAUCAGAUACCGUCGUAGUCUUAACCAUAAACUAUGCCGACUAGGGAUCGGAUGAUGUUAAUUUUUUAAUGACUCAUUCGGCGCCUUACG